rnacentral:lncRNA from 1 species
GAACUUGCAACCAAUCAAAAUCCUUCAUGAUGCUGAUCAACCAAUCAGAUUUCCCGUCCCACACUUUAGAUAGGUUUUGUGUCAGGCCCUAUUCUGUGAUAGGGCCUGAACUUCAGGUUACAGAGACGACGCCCUAAAGGCCCGGUCACACUACACAACGAUAACGAUACGAUAAAUUGUAAACACGCGAUAAUUGGCAAAAAAAUUGUGUUAGUGUCCACACAACAACGAAAAUGAUAAAAUUAUCGUUAGACGAUAACGAUAACGAUUUUAAAAUCGCUCACCUGAGCGAUUUUUUUUUCAGUCGGACGAUAACGAUAAAUUUUUGACCAAUCAGCGCGCGUAUACAAGUUAUCGUAUCGUUAUCGUUGUGUAGUGUGACCUGGGCUUAAGAGGAUAUUUAAGUCCAAAUUAAGUCAAAAUCACCGUUUAGGGAGU